UGUGUACACUGAUGCACAAAGACUUGAAUUAAACAGAGAUCUCUUAAUACCCAUGAAUACCUCUCUGAUGGGCAACUUCUCAAGCAGUGCAACUUUAUGCACAUACUUUAAAAAAUAACAACAACAGCUGGAAGCCGCUAGUAAUUUCACAAGUUCACUCUUACAUUUAAUCAGAUUUUAAUCCGAGUGUAUGCAUAUUUGGCGUGAUGUCCGAAGGGAGGGCCCCGAGCUCGGAAUUUUGCCCGAACCCAGAGUACUCGCCCAAAUCCCUGGUUGGGAUAUGAACAAUCGAGAGUGAAGAGUUGGGGUGGUGGAGGGAUGCUGGAAAACUGUCGUGGGACAGAGCCAGCCAGGCCAGGUCUGUCGGGGGCUGCUCUGCCAGAGGACCCUGGGCGUCUGUUAGUAAACUCGUCAGUGAGGAGUUAUUGUGCUUCAUCACAGUCAACUUGAAAUACACUCCAAACACUGCUUCACUAACACACAUGGUGACACCUUGUGGGGGACCCAAAAUAGAAGGCCUCUUCUAUUCUCGCACACUCCCACUCUGCAGGGGCAUCAGGACCCCUGACGAAGCGCAGGGCCUCCUCUGCCUCUCUUCUUUUCCCUUGGGAGAGCAGGAACCGUGGCGUCUCCGGCAUGAAGCACAUAAACACCAGCAUUAGU